UCCCUGCGCUACCAAGAGUGACUAUAUCCUGCACAUGCCUUGUUUGACUCUUGCCUUUGGUCUGGUUGGGACCUUUUCCUAAUAAACUGUUAUAUUUCACAUUCGCAAUUGAAUCCUCCUUUUGUACCCAUGACAGUUUGACUCAC